rnacentral:lncRNA from 1 species
CCUCUCGCCACUGCCUCGCGUCUUCUCUCCCUCACGGCAGCCUCGGUCUCUUUCUCCCUCUCUCCUUUGAAAACUGAUCUUUGGCUCUUAGUGUGAAAGUGAUUUGAAUUUGGCUCGGCGGCGCUCUGCGCCUGCGCUCAGCCUCUGGCAUGCUGGCUCCUUCCAAGCAGCUGUUUUGGGUUUGAAAUUCCAACAUGGCAGAGGCUGCAGUCCGUCUUCCCUUCAAAAACUUGGAAUGAUUUCAAAUCAUAGGCACCUUCACUUAACCCUAGCUUCCAUUCAUCAGCAAACACAUCGGAUCGAUGCUACGCUAACCUAUCGGGUUCUCGCUCUGCGCGUUCAGGUAAGAGGAGCUUCGUAGUUUUCUACCAUCUGUUUAAAUUUGUUUUUGUUUUUGUUUUAUUUUUAAAGAAUAUAAAUAGAUCCAAGAACUGUAAUAAAAAGAGAUCUCCGAGUUGUGCCGUAAACAUUAAAUUUAAUUUGCAUUCGUUUCUAUUCGGUACGCCAACCUGCUGUCUAAUUUCUCUGUACAAAGUAGCCCUGAAACAUUAUAAUGCAUAUUUUAGCUGCUUAAUCAUUGUAACAAUAGUAUGGGAUUAAGAAUUCGCGAUUGAAAGAAUCUCGUUUUUCGCUAUAUUGGGCUUACUUAUUACUAUCUUUUUUUUACUUCAAAAAUAAAAUAAAAAGAAAGCGGAGCCAUAGGGUGGGGCUAGACUUUCUUCGGGAACUAACUUCUAAGUAAAUAAGAAGUGUAAAUAAGAAUCUUGCACACACACGAAAAGUUGAGGUUAAAUUACAAUCUCGUGGCUGGGGGAACCAGAAAAAUGUCACAAGCUCGGUUGCAAAAAAAAAAUGUAAGCACAUCAUUUGGAGGGGGUACAGCGUGGUGGGCGUAUUGUUGGCAAGGAAUGGGAGAGAAAGAUGUAUAAUUUAAUGGUAUAUACAAUCCACUGAUCCUAUUACCGUCCUCCCCGGAGCUCUUGUUAGUUUCAAUGGGAGUGAGUGAAAUUGACAUGGACUUGCAUUCCUGGUCAUGUGCUUUUUUUCCUUUCUUUCUUCUCCUGUGAUCUGAGAUCCCCUUUUUGUUGAUGUUGCUUUCCCCCUUAAUUAUAUGCAUGUAGGUUAAAUGAAUACCUGACGAAAGGGCCCACGUUUCAAGGCAGUGACAUUUGAUAGCUGAGAGGAAAAGUGGCUUUAAUGAAAAGCAACCUUUGGAAUUCCUGCUUGUGAGAAAUCCAAUUCAGCUUUUUGUGCUGCCAGCAAGAAAUGAUCAGUAGCACCAGUGUUUAUGGUAUGUCAGUUUUGGAAUUUACUUCCUUUGCAUCUAAAUAGGAAAGACAAAUUAAAUAGCAUGAUAAAACCAUUGAAGACUGCUUGAGAAGCAGAUGUUCAUGAUACCUAAUUCUUUUUUAUUUAAAAAAAUGUAUAUGUUUAUUUUUAAAAAUGUAUAUGUUUAUUUUAAUCUGUCACCAUGCUUUUUGCGUUUGUUAUCACUUGUUUAUGUAUUUUAGUUUUGAUUAACAUAUUACUUGAGUCCACUUUUAUUGGGUUUAGCUGUAAUCCUGAAGUUGCAUGUUACUAGUAAUGCACUGCAUAACGGCUGAAGUCAAAUAGUAUGUAAAUUAGUUAAACUCAGUGUGGUUUUUUUUUUUUUUUUUUUCUUCCUUUGAGGAGGUGGGUGGCAGAGGGGAGAGGGCGGGAGUGUGGAGAAAGAUUGCUAACUAAUGAAAGUAUAUAUAUGUACACACACAGAACUGGGUGAAAUUCUCUUUUUCUUUCUCAACCUGUCAUUGCAAUUUGGCUAUCUGCUCUCUUGAUGAUUGCACUUUGUGGAGUGAUCGGUUCCUCUGUGUAGUUUUUUGGGGUGAGUGAAUGAAGGUAUAUCUUUUACAUAAAAACAGACUAUAUAUUUUCACUGCUCAAAGUCCUUAUUCCAAGGAACAGUGGUAAUUUUUUUCCUUGCCAUUUACUUGUCUGCCUGUCAGCGCUUUUUACUUUUAACCUGUGACAGAAUUAAAUAAUCAGGCACUGAAAUUGACUUCAUUUGAAAUUGCUCUUUCCUCUUUCAAAAAAAAAAAGUCAGUUAAAUGGAGUGAGAGGGGUUUUCAAUGGCUCUUGUGGCCGAGCUGUGUGUACACUGUGUGAUAUUCAAUUAAGACUAAGAGGGAACAACAACAACAAAAAGAUGUUAAAGUGUUUUGCAUAAUCAAAGGAUAUGUCCACUUUAAACUGUUUUUCUUUUUUGUUGUUGUUGCUGUCUUUUACAUUUAUCCCAACACCAUGAAUUUCUCCCGCAAAGAGAGAAAAAAGGAGAGAAUGUGAAAGAAAGAAAUAACAGGGGGGCAAAGCUGCCAGGCAUCUGUAGUGUGGCCGUGGUCACUGCUCUCUCAUAACACAAAUGUGAAUACGAGGAAAGGGACUUCAAGACCCGUUGCGCGACAUGCACUUCUAGUUGGACCCUGGUGACUAUAGAGCUAAACACACACCGCUCUACACGAUAGAAAGGAUUUGAUUGAAUUUUGCAUUUGGAACUUGUUGACUUUGAAGCGAUCAAUAAGAAGACUGUUUAUUUUAGAUGCACAUAAUUUGCCCUAAGAAAUGUUUUAAGGAGGAGAGAGCACAGGUUUUUUUCCCCCGGAGCUGUUGGAGCGAAUGGGAUUGCCAGAUGGGCGAUUUCCCUCUGUGAUGUUAAAGCUGUAAUAUAUAUUCAGAGCAGAUUGGGCUGCUGCCUGUGAUGAGGAGGAUAUUACAUUUAUAAAUUUUAAAUCGGAGCUCGGACAAUGUGCUGAGAGCAGAAAUUGGAUGGUUUGACUGUUCACUGUAUUGAUACUUAAAUGUGAUUUCUGGGUAGUAGUAAUAAUAAUCAUUGUAAUAAUAUAUAAAAAACAUGCUGGCAUAGCAAUCAUAUAAUUCAUGACAUUUAACUGCAGAUGUAAAUGUGCAAAUUGCUCCCCCCAAGUCUUCUACUUACUAUUAAAUAAUAGUCACAUAAUUUAUUUCUCUGUGUGUUUAAAUGUCUGAUGUGCAAAUGAUGUUCAUAAGGAGGAGUCUUGUUAUCACACACUAGAAUUUUUUUUUGGGGGGGGUAAGUAUAUGUAUAGAGAGAGAGAGAGAGAGAGAGAGAGAGAGAGAGAGAGAGAGAGAGAGAGAGAUACACAGGAGACACUUGUGUAUAUGUAGAAAGUGGUGUUUGUGACUCCUAUUUUCUAAUUCUAUUACUUGGAUUAUUUUUAGAUUUUGUUUGUCUCCAAUGUGUGGCCUAAAGGAAACAGCUACAAACCUAAAAGGCUAGAAAGUGGGCAAGCACUCACAUUCUGGCAGCUCUGCUGUUGCAAAUUAAAAGUGUGUUGUGGUCAGGAAAUGAAAGCUACAAUGUCUCUUUUGAACAAGUCGUUUAUCAAGAGAAACAUCUAUCAGGGACUGCCUUGUCACAUUGAUCCUCUAAAAGUUAGGUCCGAGGUGGAAGCUGCUUUGAUGUUUUUGAUCCUAAAUUUAAUACAACAGAAAAAAAAAAAGCAAAGAUAUUUUGACCAGUAUAGAUUUCUUUUCAAAAAAUGUUUCCUGGAACCAACAAGAUCUAUUUAUUAGUAUUGUACUGUGUGUGAAGUUUUCAAGCCAUCACAGUUGAAAGGCUGAAGGGGAAAUCCCAGGCUUCAUAAACUUGAUGAUAGUUAGAAUAUACAUUUGUAAUACAUUCAGCUUUUUUGUUUAAUAUAGACAUUUUGGAAAUAGAUUGUUUGAAAGGAAAAUCAUUUUGAAAAAAUGUUUGGAAGACUAUGAAGAGUGUCAGAGGUUUUUCAUUCAUUUAAAUUUUAGAGUUCUCUCUUCACUCCCUCUUCUAUUUCUUUAUUCCUGUUUACUAACUUCAUUUUGUUUGUGACAAAUUUGCUUUUAUUUGGAAAAGAAACAUUUUUCCCAUGGAAACUGUGUUCCCAAAUAAGAUUGUAUACAGCACUUCUAUUGUUUAUUAAUUGUGCAUGUGGAUACUUAUCAGUAUAAGCUGCAUGGAUUACAAAUUCUUUGGAAUUUCAGCCUGAAAAUAGAGGUAUCAGAUUAAACAUGUCAUAUAUUCUUAAAUACUGAAUAUGUUGCAUCUAUUAUUUAGAAUUCAAAAGGUAUCGUUAAGGAAAUGACCAAGUUUAAAAAAAAAUGUGAAAGCAGUUAAGAGCAUCCUGCUUAUUUUUGGAGGCAAAGAUAUGAAAGAAGUAUUCCUUCUUUGAAAUAGUUUUUGGAUACUUGUCUUAUACUGCUGGUGGCUACUUGUUUUUUCAUGUAGGAGUGUUAAAUAAGGAGAGGAGAGUGUGGUGGGAGUUUUGAGAAGUGUAAUACUUGCUAAUUAAUCAUGUCUGAAAUGAAAGAAUCAUAGCAGGGUAAUAAAAUCUCAUUGUUGUUUUCCUGGAAGAGGGUAAGACUUCUGUUUGGAAGCUGUGCAUGUGAGUUGACUUGCUUUGCUUUUCUCCUGAAAAGAUAGUUUAUAGGGUCUCCUUGCAAUUAUUUUAAGAAAUCUCUUUUUUUUUUUUGAAAAUUUUUUUUUCUCCUGACUGUAUCAAAUCUGUAAGAUUCUUAAAACUAUAUGUGAUAUCUUCUAAGUGUAAACAGGAUUUUUUUCUUUAAUUAUAUUUAAGAUUCCUGCAUCUGAGUUUCCAGUGCUAUUUUUUUUUCUAUAGAUAGAAAAUCUUUUUGGUUGUUUUCAUUCAUGUUAAGAACUUUGGAAAUCAUUUUGUAGGCAGGUACUUCUGAUACAAGACAGCAGAAAUUUCAUUAGUUACUUUUAGAUAAUACCAGAGUAUGACCAAAGGGGAGAAAAGAAUUAGUAUUUUCAAGAAUCCAUAGAGACAAGCUGUAUUAUUACUUGCCAUUUCUAAAAUAGUUUAAAACAUAAGCAAGCUGAAAAGAUAAAUGAAUAAUUUAUUAGAGGUGAAUUUUCUUUUUUUCCCUAAGCUUCAGUUUGCCACUUUUUAGAAUUUAAUUCCUUGCUUAAGUUUUGCAUAGAGCCAGAUCCAAAAAGUUUGAGUCUCUACAAUAUUUUUCAGAAUUCUCAUCUCAGGUGUAGACCGGCUGUGCCAAGGCUUCCCUUUUUGUCUGUGUGAGUGUUUAGAAGCCUAGAAUGUUUGCCUAAUUAAGUAAUCAGUUUUAAUGGACCAAAUCAGCAAAAUUAUUACUGCAUUUGAAACAAUUGCAGGCAUUUAUGUUUCAAACUUUCUAAUUUCUUCUAAGAACCUUGGUUUAAUAGAAAUGUUUGCUGUUUUACCUUUGAUCAAUAUAUUCUUGAGUACAAAUUUCAUAUGCUACUUUUAUAAAGUACCACAUUUAUUGUUGUCAAGCUAGUAAAUUUAAUUACCAGGAAUUUAAAUUGAUUUAUAAAUUUUUGAUUGGGGGAAAUUGUUCUGCAGACAUUUGCGGAAAUAUUGACUAUGUUACUGAUGGGCAAGACUUGAUUAAUCAGCAUAUCUGCUUUUCUUUAAAUCCUUGAUAAAUUAGAAUAAGUAAAUCACACAGAAAAUGAUGCAAUUUCCUCCCUCAAUUUAAAAAACUUAAUAUAAUUUUCUCUUUCUUUUGAGAUAAACAAAAGCUAAUGUUUUACUAAUCAAUUGAACUUGGAAAUUAUUUUUUUUGAACCACUUGAAAGCAAGUUCAAAUAAUAUUAACCUAUACACACAGAACAAUGAUACCUAAGUUGUCCUUUUUGUUUGUUUUAUUUUCUUUUUUAAUGGAAUUUUUUUUUAAGACUGCAAGCAAAUGUUCAGUUUAGCACCCAAUAUUUUUCCUGGUUUUAUCUUGUUACUUUUUCUUUUUUCUGAUCUUUUUUUAUUAUUAACUUUUCCAUUUAAUUCCUGGUAGAAAACUCAAGCAUAGCUGCUUUGAUAUGGUUAUUGAUUACUGAUUCUUUUGAUUUUUUUGGUGUUAUCAUUUAAAAGGCAAUUAUAUUUGAGAGAUGCUUACUUAAAAAAAAGCAGGUAAUAAAAAUAAGGAAUGGGCAAAAAUAUGUUGUAUUGGUAAGUUUGAAACAACUCAAAAGCAGGUGGGUGUACUGUUUCCUUACUCCAACACCACAGGUGCCUGUUUAGCUCUGUCUUAGGACAGCACAUCCUCUUGCAGCACCUGUUGACAAGACCAGUCUUUGCUGAGGCUGAGGAGGCAAAAAAGAUAGGUGAUCAGUAACCAUCAAAACAGAAGAUAUCAUAUGGCACUGUAUGUUAAUGGUAUUUACAUAUUUUAUGCAACAAAUCUGCUUGUUGUCUUGUUAUUUGAAUAUUGACACUUCGUUUAACAUUGCAUAUGGUGGGCUGUUGUUUCAGGGUAAAUCAGAAGCAGGAAAUCUAGAGGAGAAUUUCAAUUCAGAUGUAUUUAUGAUAAAUAUAUGUAUAAAUGGAUAUGUUUGCUCAUAUUUUAGCUACUGUGACUUUCACAAACCAUUUGUAGUAUCACUUCUUUCAAUCAUUUUUUAAACUGAUACAUCUUGAAAGUAGAAUGCAUGAUUUAUUAUAUGAAGGCCCAAGGUUAAACUUUUUUACCCUAUAACUCAGCUUAGGUAUUUGUAUUUUUGUGUUGGGAAAACUUUUUUAGGAAGAUUGGAAAAUUUGCUUCUUGUUAGAAUUUUGUUCUCAUUUUCAUCAAAUGAAUAGCUUUUAUUAAAAGUCAUUAGUGGUAUAUGAUUUACUAAUACAUAAUUUAAAAUAAAGUUUUUUUAUUUUUUGCCACAGAAUACAAAAUCUAUUUUUUCAAGAUUUUUUGUUGUUGUUGAUGCAUAAUACAGAUGUACACAGAAGUGGGCUUUUUGUUACAUAUUUACAAUAUUAACAUAAUUUGGUCAAUUUCCCUAAUACAAAAUUUAAAAUACCUACAAAAUAUUUUCCUCUCCUUAGAAUGUUAAUGUUGAAAAUACUUUACUUCUUUCUAAUGAAUUUUGAUUUCUGCUGAUAAUUUAUAUUUUUCUAUUCUAAUUGUGGAUAUAUUACUGGGAGAACAGAAACUACACUUUACUCCACCCAUCUUUGUUUUUCCCGACUCAACUGUUUGCCUUAUGUUAAUUGGUUGCUUUUUAAAUAACUGACAAUUAUAUGUCAUACACAUGAAUGUAAAUGCAUCUGAGAAUGAGUGACCUCUACUUUCAUGCAUUGGUUUGUGAGAAAAUGUUAUUCAUGGAAAUGAUAACAUCCAAAAUAAAAUUUAAAAAAUAAUGCAGUGUGAAGUCAUGAGUUUCUAUAUAAUGUAAUAUACUAUUUUUUUGUGAUUACUUUGACUUGUUUUUCUUCCCAUCAAUCAACACCGUCACCCUCAACUAGAACCAGCUACAUAAUUUCUGGGACCUAAUGCAAAAUUAAAACGUGAGGUAUCUUGUUCAAAAGUUACUAAAAAUUUCAAGACAGCUACGGCAGAGCAUUCAACCAGAUGAAGGGUCCUUCUGUGAGUGGAGCCUGUGUACCUGAAUGGAGCCAGACCUGUAUUCACCACCUGCCAACUUUUCUCUUGGGCCAUCUCUGGGGAAGGCACUGGGCUUCCUACCUGAAGACUGACUAUUCAUUCCACAGUUAUUCCAAGUGUCUUCACUUAAAGAGAUACUAAUGGGAGUUGUGUAAGAGAAUUGAUGGAAAAAAAUGGAUCUUUGGGUAUCUCUUCCCCCCUUUUUUUUUCCCAUGAGCUGGUACUUGAAUUAUUUGCUUUUAACCUAGGCUGCCCUUUGCCUCAUCUAUUUCUGAUAUAUCCCAUGAAUUUUUAAGUAAAUAUUUUUAAAAGGAACUUUGUUUUUAAUUGUUUGCAGACAGGUAGAUACUUAAGUACUUAUUCCCCAAGCUAAGAGUAAUCAUAGUAGAAUUAUUUCAGUGGAAUUUGUAAUCAGAGCCUGGGAGGUUCUCUUGCCAGGUACCAUAUCCACCUCCUCCCAAGGAUAGAAGCACAGGUGAAAUAAGUAUUUUUAAUAUAGAAUCUUAAAUUAUCUAAAUAUAUAGAAAAUUCUAACCAUUUACAAAACUAAAAGCACAAUUCAUUGAGUGACAGGAAAGAGGGGCAAACACAAAAAUAAUUACCUUGUUAUGAUAGUAUCAGUAUUGAUAUUUUGACAUUAGAAAGUGGCAUUAUAGCUAUAUAAACAUGUGGUGACAGCUGUGUUAAAGAUGAAAAGUAACUCUUUCAUGCAGUGACACAAACUUUGCAUCAUAUGGUAUUCAAGUUGUGAACUCAGUUUCUCAACUUAAUUGUAAUAACCUCCUUCUCCCUGAGCUAUAUUGACCAGGUAUGAAUCCUACUUCCCUUUGAUUUGCAUAAUCUGUGCAAUUUGGGGUACAAAACACCCUGUAGUUUCCCAAGGUACCUCUCAAGCAGAUCAAGAUUUAUAUUGCGAUACCUAAAGCUGAAUUUUGAAGUCAAGCAGCUUUUUCAAAUCCAAACUGAGAUAUGCUGGAAUGUCCAGAAAGUCUGGAUCUGAGUGCACUUGAAGUUGCACCAUUUAUUUUCAAAAGAGAGUUCUCACAUCAGAUGACUCUGCCAGGAAAGGAAAUAUCAAAGAGCUGGAGAAAAGUAUUCUUUUAUGUAUUCCAAGACUGGGGUGGAGGUGGGGGCUUUAAAGAUAUUUUUGAGGAAUAAAAAAAAAAUUGAACUUAUUUUGAAUGCCUUGUCAGACUUUGUGGUAAGAAAUACUAUAUAUGACACCUUCUCAGAAGAAAAACCUUUUCUUUGUCCUGUGUAAUAACAAGGCAUUGCUCUCUAAAUUGAUUUGCACUUUAAUGAAACAAAGUUGGAAAAUAACUAUUGUAACACUCCCAUUUAAUUAUAAAUUCACCCCACAAUUUAGGAAUUUUUUUUUUUUUUUGCAUUAAAGCCACUGCGAACUUAGAAAUAUUUUAAUAGGUAGUCCCAUUCCAAAUUUUAAAAUGUUCUGUGUUCUGUUUACAAAUUCUCUAGGACAAUUUCAAUUGAGGGUUUUUUUUUUUCCCUACCUUACGCCUAUCCUCUAGUAUAUUCUCAUAUUCAAUGUUCAACUUGAAAAAUAAUAAGCCUGGAAUCUGGGUAAAUAUGUGGCAAUAUGGUCCAUUAUUAUGGCAAAAAUAGAUGUUUUAUUUCUCCUGUAUUUGCUUCUCUUUUUCUAUUUCAAAUUGUAGCUAAGACUAAACACUUUCUCUUAGAUCAUAUACCUCAAUGAUGCUAAAUUGUAAAUCUUAAUUAGGUAUGAUUCACUGAUUUUAAUCUUACAAGAUAAUUAUUCUGAGUAGGAUAAAAAGGUUCCCAUAAUAUUGAAGGCAUUUUCAUUAUAAUCCCCAUUUUAAGAUCAAACAAAUACUAUUAAAUAAACAGAGUGCUAUUAGUCUUUUAUGUUUAAUAGUUAAUACUCUGAAUUUAAGUGUAUGGAUGAAGAAAGGAGGGUAUUUUUGAUAGAGCAGUCUUACUGUUUGCAAACUUUAAAUCCUUUUGAUAAAUUUCACUGCUAGGAAUGACAUGGAUCUAAGGACAUUUUAAAAAUAAAAGUUAUAGUUUUGAUUAUCUAAAUGGAAUAUGUUCUUGUGCAUGUGCAUAGAUACAUUUCUUUGUGAAGGUAUUGAUGUCAGGGAUGCUUUUGGUAUUUCUUUAUGAGUAAUUAGGUUAACAGGGUUAGUUAGAAAAUGUAUCCGUUCCUGGAAAAUGAAAAAUUACAUUCAAGCAGAGGUAAAAGAGUAAAACAUAUUCAUGACUUUAAGUACUUAAAAUAUAUUUUAUGACUCAUUUUUACAGAAUAAUACCCAAUAUGUAACUUGUUAAAAAUAAUAGCCAUUUUUUACUUUUUAAAACACAUCUGUAUUGAAACUGACUUUCUGUCCUUGACUCACAAAUCUGGAGCCAAUUUUAGGCCCAAGAUACAAAAUAUGUGGGUCAUAUCCCCCCUACCCCUACCAUAGUAUCCUUGGCCAGUGGUGUUAGUGCAUAGUUCUCUUUUGAAGAAGAGGUCUACAUUACUCAAAAGAUUAAGAAGCAUUAGAGGGGGGAUGCUGAUAUGGAAUUCUAAAUGACUGAAUCCUAGUCUGACAUGAGGGGAAUAUCACCAGCUUUUAAAAUUUCAUACACCUAUAUGGACAUUGCUAAUUUUGUUUUUUCUUGGGGGAGUGGAAUUCUAAGUGUAAUAUGAAUACAAAGAGUAUUUAUUCCCUAAUUUGGAAAAUAUGUUUUGGGUAUAACAACCAACUCAUUAUUGGUAUAAAUUUAAUCAUGUAUGUUAAAACAGUAGAGUCAUAGGUACAUCUAGUAUGAGCUAGUGUCUCUUUAGAAAAAAAUUGUAUACAUAAGCUGAAUCUCUUUUGUGUGUUUUUUUUUUAAAUAGGUGUAAAAUGUUUAUCAAUAAUAUUUAAACAAUUUAAGUAUUAGGAAAAAUCUAAUAUAGAAAGUUCUUUAUUAUUUUUGUCUUUAAUAAAUCCCUCAAUGAACAUAUUUAGUAUAACAAUGCUUGUUUUGUUUUGUGCUUUCUCCCUCGUUUUAUUCAGAUUUAGAGCAAAGUAAAAAGACCUCACAGGGAAAUCCAAGGAGCACAGUACAAUGUAUGCUUUAGAUUUGUUUAUAAUUAUUUUUAUAAUUAUGGGUAAAAAUCUGCAAUUUUGCCACAAUCUAAUAUGUCCUUGAAAUUUAUCCUGCCAAAAUGCCCCAUCACUAAACUGUCAUCUGGGAGGUGUUGCAGAUGUAUAAUUGUAAUGCAUAUGUGUACCUCAAUACAUAUUUUUAAAAAAUAUUAUCUGUAUUUUCUAAUAGCCAACUCUGCAGGAAUACUUGCUUAGGGGUAGGGGUAAAAAGUUUUUCUGCCUCUUUUUUUUCUAUUUGUGUACUCAACAAGAACCCUGCUGUCUCAGUCAGUCUCCCACUACUGGAUUGGGAUUCUAAUCUUACCACCUACCUGUGUACUGUUUUGAGUGACUGGGACUUUUUUUUUUUUUUUGUACUUAUCUGUAAGGCUGGUUAUUACUUGAUCAUCUGUAUAAUCAAAUUUCCCUUGAGCCACCAGCAUAUGAUAUUUAGACCACGAGAAGGUAGUAUGAAUUAAUUAAGAGGAUGUUAGAGUGUGUAGUGGAGGAGGGGAAAGGCAAGUAGCAUUUGUUGUCUUGGGCAAACUGCCCUUUCUCAUGAAAGGCAACUUGUAAGAAUAGGGGAAACAGUUAAAAGGAAAGAAAAUUAGGGAAAGUUGUUGAGGCAAGGCUAAGGACUUUUUUUCAUGGGGCUGUUGCUAAAAAUGAUAUUAGCAAUUUUACAAAUCAAAUCCUAAAGUAAUUAUGUGCAAAACUGAUCACUUAUUAGGAAUUAGUGACUAGUACACAUGAAAUAGGAUGCAGUAUUAUAAUCUGAACAAAUUAUGAUAUCCUUUUUAAAAAUGGCAGAUUCUAAAUCACAUUUUGAAUAAUGGGAUUUAUGAUCAUCUACAUGAAAGAACUAUUUAUUCCCUGCUUUACUCCCCAUAAUUUAAAUAGGUAUAAAAACACAUAUGCCUUUAAAGAUGAUUCAUAUUAUUUGGAGAAUCUUUUUUUCUUCCCCCAAUAUCCUCAGUUUGCUUAGACCAAUAGAAGAAAGUCCACUAAGGACUGAGAUGAACCUAUUUUAGAGCUUAUUUUGGAAAGAAAUGUAGUUAUUUCUAUAUAGGGGUUCAGAUUAUUGAAAUAGGUACAGGUAUUAUUUGAUUUUAUCCAAGCAAAAUUUGUUGUUGAUUUUUUUAAUUCUACCUUAAAAAAAGAAAACAAAAUCCAAACAAAUGAAGUAAAAUUCUUUUCCUUUAGCACUACCCUAGACCAGUUAAAUGGAGUUUGGAGGAAUGGCCUGUUUCUUCUCUGUUUUCCAGGUGAUUCUAAAGUAAAGUUAGGAUUGAGAAUCACUUCUCUGAACCAUGAGGUUUCAUGAGCUCCAGAACUUUUCUGUGUUUAAAAAACAUUUCUUUCUGGUUUGAAGUCAUUAAAAUGGGAUAUUCAGUCUGAAUUGAGCAUCCUGAUGACAUAUACUAGAGAUAGUACAACAGCUUCUCUAGAUUUCUCCUACAGUGGACAGCUAAGAGGGCCCCAGAAAGUUAUAAGUAGGAGGAAAAGUGUCAACAGAAGCCCCAAGGCUAUGGUAUUCUUACCCUGGCAAGUCACUCAGCCUCUUUGAACCACAGUUUUCUUUUUCUGAAAGGGGAGAUGAUUCAAUGACUAGUAAAAUUUCUUGCAGUUCUAUAUAACUAAUUCUUGCUUCGUCAUGGCCUAGUGAAUUUGAGUAACUUGGAGCCUUGCUAGUGGCCUAUGACUGACAAAAAAGUUUCUGUUUCUCUUAAAGAAGCUCAAGAAAUUGUUCUGGAGACAAUGAAAGAAGAUCAAGGACUUCGUUAAGUCCUUCAAAGGGGAUGGCAACUAUUCAUCAACUUUGCUUACUAAUUGGUUGCAAACAACAGUGUCAAUAAUUCUAAUAUCUGGAAAGUUGAUAAAUAUUAAUUAGAUGAUACUUUUCUUCAGUGAGAGAUUUAAAUAAAAGACUGAUAAUCAGAUUAAUUUAGGCAUCGGAAUUAUGGGCCUUAAAUACUAUCUAUCUAUCUAUCUAUCUAUAUCUAUCUAUCUACAUAGAUAGUAUAUAUAUAUAUAUAUAUAUAUAUAUAUAUAUUUUUUUUUUAAUAUAUAUGUAUAUAUAUUUAUAUAUAAAUUAGGGUGAAAAUUGGACCUCCACCAAAGUGAUUUUCUCUUUCCCUCUUUUCUCUACUUUACUUGGUCUUUUUACUCCUGGAAUGCCCUUCUUCAUCUGGUGAAAUCCUGCCAUUACUUUGGUAUCCAGGCCAACAGUUGGAUCAUCUGUAAAAGCCUCCAUGAGUCAAUAAUCAGGGUCAAUUUUCACAUCUACUUAAUAUUAUCUGAACAUUUUAAAAAUAUCUUUUUUUUGAUCAUUAUCUUUCUUUUAUAGUUAAUCAUGUUUCUCUUUUAGGAAAUUGUAAAUUCCUUGAGAACAGACACAUCAAAUCAUUCUUAUUUUAGAUCUCCUGAACCUGUAUAUAUCGUAUAAAGUCUAUAACAGGUGUUCAAUGAAUAUUUGGUAAAUGGAAUUGAUAAAAGCUAUGGAGACUGUCACUAUGUUAAAUUUACUUUAAAAAAUCAAAAGAUGCCUCUGAAAAUAUUUAAAGAACAAAGCUAUUAAAAUUGUGUAUUUCAUUUUAAAAAUUGAAAUCCCUAUAUUAUUAUGUAAUUACUAAAGACACAUUAUAACUCAGAAAAAUAGUUUUGUAAUUGUAUACCUGAAAAUAAGCCUAUAGUCAUUCUGAUUUUAUGUCUCUGGAUAGGAGGGCACUUAAGUUAUUUUAUUAAAGCAACUUUAUGAUGUUGUUUUUAAAUCCCACAAAACACAAAAUUCAAACCUACUUUGAUUAUGGGCUAUAACAAAUAGCAUCAAAUCACUGUUCUGAACAUAUUUAAUUUUUUCUCAUGUAUUUCUUCUCAAAAAACAAUUUGUGAGUAUAGAAUAAUGAGACUUACUGAUCAACUUCAUGCUAACAUUGGGUUGAUUGACAUUUGCUUAUUCAGCCUUUGGUUGAGCAUGGGAAAUCAGUAGCAACUUGAGUAUGUCUUUCUAUUUUGCCUUUUCUCUGAUAAAUUGGGAGUAAAUUUGUGCCUUAAAGGUACUAAAAGCAGAUUUUGUGGGAACCUGAUGAUACUUAUGGUGAUAAGGUAUGAGAUGCAAACUAGUUGAUAUACAUUUGAUUUGAUAACUUUCUGUGACUCUGCAGUUUGUGAAUGUCUUUGCUUAACAUUUUAAUUGGUACUUUUUUUGUUCUCUUUAGCAUCUGACACUAUUAAUUUAUUUUGUACUAAAUACUGGGCAGUAAACAAGUUAUCUGGAAUUACACCCAAUGACCUCUGUCUUCUUGUGGUUCAGUUGCUUUACCAGUUGGGUUUGUGGGCUUGGAGAAGGAUCAGUUUCUUUCUCAAAUCUGUCACUUAAUGUUACAACAAAUAAUGUUAUAAAUAUUUUCUAAGGGAAACUCCAUUUGACACAAAGUUGGAAUUAUAAUUAGUCAACACUAUUUUAUAAGGUUUCUAUUUCAUCUUUGUGUUUCUAAAGCAAGAAAAUGCAUCAGAGAAAAGCAUUUGUUUAUAUAUCUUCAUCAAAGAACCCAGAAACAAAACAAAACAACCCCCCCCCAAAAAAAAAAUACAAAAACUUUAUUGUCAUUCUUUGAAAAACAUAAUUUUACUAGGGAAACCCAUGAACUCAUAACCUUUAUUGAAAGCUCACUAGUCUCCUUCUAAUUUUGGGUCUUCAGAGCUGAAAAGUUUUAGAUGCUAUCUUACCACUUCAUGUUGAAAUGCAAGUUGAUCUUGUAUAGUCUGUGUGGAAGAAAGCAUCUGUAGUGCUGACUGCUGAAUCUGGCUUAUGACAAAAAUAUGUCAUUAAGUGAGUUACAGUGGGACACCUUUUGCUUAGUUAAUUACAUUCAAGACACUGCAUCUCAAGCAAAGAGCUUAGACAGUGAUGAGUACAUUGUAGGUAGAAUAAUAAAGACUACAAAACAAUGUUUAAAGUAGCAAAAGAAGUUUUGCAGUGUGACUACAACAAAGACCCAUGUGUUUAGUUUCUUUGUUAAAUCAGUUCCUCUGGUUUUCUGGCAACCAUUCCAUGAAAAACUAGUAAGUUAAAAUUGCUAAAAUACAAAUUCAAAUCCAUCAGAUUGAGAGUCAAGACCAGGAAUGCUAAAGCCUUCUUCUAAUGGUUGCUUGCCAACAACCAUACUAAAUCUAGGGAAUAUUUAAAAAGAUAAAGACUUAAUAUUGUACUUGAUUUGUAAUCAGGAACUUGUGGGUUUUUAAAUGAAGUGGAUAAAAUUAUCCAUGAAGUAUUUUCUUUGUACCUAAAAUGCCUUUUGUUUUUCACAGUGUAAUAUUGGAGGAUGCCUCUGAGAGGGUAGUGAUAUAAAUUGGUACCAUCAAAUAUGAUUAAAAGUCAGUGGUCCAUGGUUUAUUUUGUUGCAGGUUUUUUUUUUUUACCCCUCAUAUGCAUAGUUGACAGCUGUUAGUAUUUGAAAUUUUAGUUAGGAGUAGAAAAGACAAUUCUUGAAGAAUAUAAACUUUAUAUUUGUUAUAUUAAAAUCUAAAAUCAACAUUUUUUUUUUCAGGUGAAUACAACUGUGUGUGUGAGUGUGUGUGUGUGUGUGUGUAUGUGUUGAAACGUGAUGACACUGAGAGUACCUGUAUUCUGAAUUGGCCAGUUGGUAGUUCUAUACAGAUAUCAUCUAAGUGAACCAAUUUAAAUCCCUCUCCAGAUCCUUAUCUAAGUGGCACAACUCUGUCUGGCAGGUAACACCUAUUUGUCCCUUGAGGAUUAGAUUUGGUUGACAUUCAGUCAAAGUCCUAGUAAACAAGAUUUAUGUGAAAUUAAUUAAACUGAAAUUGAAACUGGAAUUACAAUUCACCCGAAAGUGGAUUGGAUAUAUUUGUCAUAAGUGCAUGAACACAGUGCUUUCUGUUGGAUACUUUUGUUUAGAAUAAAAACUAAUCACAAAUAAACCACUUAAAAUUUACUUUCCUAAUAUAACUGUUUUCUUUGAGUGAAUGACCACACCUCUGUUAGUACUCAGUCUUUGUUCAGGGUUUAGUUUAGUCAUGUAUGUGUCCUUGAAGAAAUGUAACAUCUUUCACAAGAUUUUGUACAAGUGAAAUCAGAUACCAGUUUUUAUUGCAGGACCAAGCCUACAAAUGUUUCUCUUUAAAGCCAUUUUUAAUAGAAACAGUAAAGUAUAAAUCAUUUAAGCAAUUACCUGGACAUUGUGGAAAUGGGGCUUGGCUUGUUCUCUAGCCCCAGAUGUUUCCAGAUUCCAGUAAUAACACAGUCCAGAUAUUUACAGCUUAAUUUUCUGUGCAUGUGCACUUGUCCACAAAUGGCUACUAUUUCCCAUUUUCUGUUGGACAACUGGGCUACUUAUAGGUACAGAAAGUGAUUUCAUUGUGGGUAAUGACAAACAUUAAUGGUUAUAAUAAGUUUCUUUUAGAAACUUUGAUCACUUUAAAAAUAAAGAGGUUAAAUUUUAGAGGAUUUUACACUAUGGAAUAAAAUAAAUUAUUCAAAUGGCCUUUUCCUUUAUGUAUGGGGAUGGACAUAACCUCUACCCAUUCCUCAAAAUUAUAUUUAAUCUUAAUAUACUCUCCAAUAAAAGUCAUUUUUUAAAAAAUGAAUCUCCUGGCACUGGUUGGGUUAUCAUGUAAGCUGCUAGUUUUCUUUGCAUCACUACCCCAGAGUUUUUCUUCUUUUUACUAGAAACUAAACAAAUGGAAAACAAUGAUUGGUAACCAUCUGCUGUGCAGAAAUUUCACAUACAGCAGUUAACUCUAUUUUAUAAAACAAGACCAAAUGAGUGAAUUAUACUGUUGCCAGUAAAUAGCAACAAGCCACUAGAGCGUUCCUUUGGACAAGUAGGAACAUAGGGAGCCAGCAUUUCAUUAUAGGAAGUCAGUUAGUUGGGCUAUGUACAGAUAUUUGUGUAUGCAUACGCACAGUGCAUGUGUUAAGAACCUGAUUAUUUCCUCCCUACCUACUCCUGUGUCUUAAUUUUCAGUACCCCCCCACCACAAAUCCCAAUAGAGUAAAUCAAGAGUACUGUAGAUAUAAAUAAAUCAAUUUAGUUACAUCGUUCUAAAUCUGUUUACUUAAAAAUUGAAGUUAAAAUCCAUAAAACCAUGCAGAAUAAAGAUUCAUAAAACUAUGUAGGCUUCAGAUCAGAAUCAUGGUUUUCUUAGCUGAGCAUGUUUUAAUGAUUAGCAACUAACCAAUGUAGCUUUAAAUCAUUGUCUUGUCUUAUCCUCUGCUUAAAAAAAAAUACCUUAACUGGAAAUCAGAUUGACUAAAUGUUGAAAAGAUAUUGACAGGAAAUGAUUACUCAUGAUGCUUUUGAAGUAUGCAUACUGUAUUGAGGGAAGAGUUAUUAUGGAAGAGACAAAAGUAAGUAGUUAGAAAGAAUUUAUUCAAAUAGACCAAGUAAUACCUAAUUUUAUAGUGAGCAGCAUAAAAUAUAAUCAGCCUCUCUAUCUAUAAUGUGUAUAUAUAUAUAUAUAUAUAUAUAUAUAUAUAUAUGUAUUUAAUAGAGCAGUAUAUGUACACUCAAAACAAAUGUAUUCUCUCUUUAACUUUCACUUCUUUGAUACUAGGAUUUUGCCAUACAGCAAGAAAAGUUGUUUAAAAUGGGCAGUAUAUUGAGUUCAAAGGACCCAUACAGUUCAUAAAUUCUCUGGUGUCUACUGGAUUUUUCAUCAGGGAGACUUCCAAUAAAAAUGAUCUAUUUUAGAAAUAAUAUUGUUUAGUAGGUUGAAAUGUGGUGUAAUAAAAUUAGACCUUCAGUCUUCUAAAGUUACUACUUAGAUGGCACCCUUGGGAUGGUAAAAUGGCUGUAUAAGCAGAUGAAUCAGACAGUUCCACUGAUGGGUACAUUUGUCAGUCUCUGUUACAGAUAUAAUAUAUUCUUAUAUCUGUAAUCCUGACACUGUUACAUCCAAAUGAAAUCAACAUGAGGUUGUCAUCUUUAAGCAAAUAUGUUAAGUGUUGUCUUUUGUGCUUUGGAUUUGAAAGAAAGGGGCCCAGGGGAGGCAGCAUCAUGCAAAUGGAACAAAUCCCAUUUCUUCUGAGCUGUGCUGUUUUUCCCCUCCAUGGCAGCUGGCUGUGUUAUCUUUGUGUGUUUCUCUGAGUGCUGACAAUUCUUUCAGUGAUCUAAGUUAGGGCACAUUAGAAAGUGGAAGCAGCUGUCUGUCGCUAUACUGAGAGACGUGUUUGCUCUACUGCAAAGAUGAAGGACCAUGAAUCCUUGACACACUCUCCCCUCCUCCCCCCUGUACUUUCCAACAUGAUCAACAUUCAGACGCACAGAUUGUCUGCUUGGACAGUUUUUUGUUCUGACUGACAGCAUCUGGCAUAGACAAAUUUAAAAAUACAUAGCAUGCCAUGCUUGGAAUUGGAACAUCCCUUCUUUAUUAAUCUUCUCAUUUAAACCAUUCAUUUACAUUUCAAGAAAGGUUACAGCUUGAUAUGGUUGAAACGUUGAUUUUUAAAUGAAUAACCUUCUAAUGAAAUGUCUUGAAUGAGUACCAAGCAGCUAGUCUUCAUUAAAAAUUACACCCGAUUAACAUGGCCUUGAAAGCCUGAGAGGAAAGGGAUUUCUUAUUGUUUUAAUCCACAAUGCAAUCCGGUGUUUACCUUUCUGGCACAAAGCGAACAGAAAUGAUGCCCGUACUCGCAACACUUCUGAUAUUGAACACAACUAUGAUAUCACCCUUAAGCCGACAAAACACUUGGCCUUGUUUAAUCAGCUUUCUUUCCCUCUGAAAACCCCCAGAGAUGUUGAAAAAAUUAUAAGCAUCACCCAAAUAUGCCUCUCUCAAAUCCUCUCUCUCCAUGCCCCACCCCUCCCCCAUCCCAAAAUACUAUGUCUCUGUGUCCAACUCAGGAAAAAAGAAGCUUAUAGGUUUUCAGAUGGAAGUGUAGACACAACACUUCAGAUGAAACACUCUCCCUGGCUCCAGGGUGGUGGUUGCAUACAUAUUUGUUUGCAUUACUUUAGUACUAAAACAUCACAGUGCAAAAAUUUCUAUCUCACUCACCCCUGCACACAUUCACAUUUCUUAUCCAUUCUAAAUUCUACAGCCAGCUUCAGCAACAUGCUUGUCUAGCAUUUAUGUAAAAAUAAUAGGAAUGUUGGCCCUCCCAGUCUGUCUGUAGACUUUGAGUCCUGGGCUGGAGUGAGUAGGAGAGGAGAAUCCUUUUACCAUAUGUUUCAGACUUUCCCACUGUAGAUUUCAGUAUAAUGUAACCCCUCAACUCCAAGUGUGGAGUUCUAAGGGGUAUAUGAAGGGAGGGGUGGGGCAGAAUUAUAAUUCUUUUUUAAAAAUACUAUUCUAGUGCUGGGUGGUAAACAGGUAAAAUAAGUGUGCUGAAUAACUUGGGAAAAUAAGCUUCAGAGAGCAGUUCAAUUAACAGUUGUAAGCAGAAAAGGUGAUGCAUUUUCUCAGUAUGUAUAAGAGGUCACUUGCUUUAGGAUAAAUUUUGACGAAUUGCAGAAAAAAUAGAUGCUGAAAUCAAAAUGAAAACAGAUUGCGGUUUUAUAUCAAAGGCACUUUUACCUUCUUCAAUGUAAGGGAAAAUGACACAUUUCCCCUGUGGAUUGUAUAUAUUACUUUUUAAAUUGUGCUAAUUUUAAAACUUUGAACAUAUUUCAUUUAAACAAAAUAAGUCUUGGAAAUUAACAUAAUCUUUGAAUCUGGAGUCAGAUCUCCACCUGCUCUUCGCCUCAGAUCCUGGCUCUGUAAAUGUAAGGUAGAUAAUGUUUGGUUGCUGUUUUUCUGUUUUCUUUUUCUUUUUUUCCCUUUCCUCCCCAAGAAAUUAGUGGCCAGAAAUCGAAACUGAGCAGAUCUAGUUCUAGUGUUUGAUUUCUAGUAAAUCUUAUAUAGUGAGCAUUUUAAAGAUAAAUUACUUCAUUUGUCAUUUUCCAUUGUGAUUUUUUUUUUUAAUGACCACUUUUUAAAGGUAGAGUCAAUGUGCAUCUGUAAGCCAACUGGGAAUGGGUUGCAAUACAAAAUUCCCUCGUGUAAAAAGCCAGGUUUAGCAGUAAUGCUUUUAAUCUGGACUUGUAGAGGAUUCAGGAGCAUCCAUAGAUCUGCUCCAGUAAUUACCAUACCCCAAGUGGCACUGGAAGAGACAUUUGCCUAAAAACUUGAUGUCUUCAUUACGCUGUUUACAUUUUAAUUAGAAACAUGAAAAUUACUGAUUCAUACAGACAACUAUAGUUUAAGUGGUUUCAUUCGCCAUCCAAUAAAUCAUAAAAAAAUCCCCACAGUUGGCAUAAAUAGUUUACUAGGAAUCAUUCAUGGGAAUAAUGUGUUGGCACUAUAAGCUGCUUAAAAUAUGUUUUUAUUUUACCAGAGGUAGAAUUUGCAUAUAAAUUAGAGAAUGGCAUUUUAAGUUGACAGUCAUUUAUGCAGAAUACCAUCCACAUGCAAAUACAUAUAUGGGUGUAUGUGCAGACUUUCUUUGACUUUAUAGGUUUUUGCGGUAUCGUGAGUAUAGAUAUAUACCCAAGCUAGCCUAUCAGUUUUAAAAAUGCAUGUCCUCUUUUUAAGUCCUUUCAGAAAUGCUGUGGUUGUUCUAAAUAUGCAUGACCACAAACACAUCUUUUAUCUGUUGGGCAACAUUCACUUGCAAGAAGGAAAAAUGUUUAUUUCUGGUGUGCAUAUGUCUUGGAAAGAACUAGUUGUUUCUUCUGCUCAUUUAUUCCCUCUUUCCUAUCUCUUCUAUUCUUCUCAACUUUUGCAUGUCCUGUCAGUGCUGCUGCCCUACAACCGCUCCCACUCAGAGCGGCUGGGCUGAAGCAGGGUGGCUGUCAGAGUCCAUUCCUGAGUCAGCAGCACAUCCAUUGCCUGCAUCUUGCGACAGUCAGUCAUCCAGUUUUCCCCUCCCCAGGGGACAGGCGUCCUCCUCAUCAGCGAGGAGGAAUGACCCCUCUGUCUGGCUUGCUUAAAAUCCCGAAUCUCCCCACAUUGGUGUGUGAGUUCAAAUCCCCCCUCCUAGAGGCAGGGCUGGGACUCCAGCUAAUGACUCUGAGAUGCAGAGGGUCAGCACACUGGUGAGCUGGAACACUGAGGCAUUGUGCGAGCCGAGUUGUACAUUUUUCCCAUAACUGCAGACUCCUCUCCGUCCCCUCCCCUCCCCAGUCCUUUAUUGAAGAUCAAUAUUAUGCAGAAAUGAACCAGGAAUAACCACAGACAUUAAAAGGCAUUUCCCUUUUUGUUAUCUUUGUUAGAAAGUUAUUGGCCAUGGCCAGAGGAGGCUCUGUUAUUAUUUUUUAUUUGUUUAUUGUUUUUUGGAUGAAUGGUAGCACCCAGUGACUGAGCACUUCCAUCACUGUAAAACUCAUACUUUAGGUCCACAUUUAUUUUGCAUUUUAGGCCUAUGGAUAGGCUACAUGUUAAAGUGAAUUUUAGAAAAUAUUAUGUAGGACCAUCUAUCCAUAAGUGUUCAACUUGAAAUGCUGUAGCAGUCAUUAUUUUCAACUUUUGAGUGUGAACAGGUUACACUGAAACUUGUGCCGCCUGGAUGGUGUGAUUUUUGCAGAUAAAUGGUUGUAAGAUUAAUUCUGAGAAGCUGCUUUAGAUGAUAAAUUUUGUGCCUCAUUUCCACAUCUUUGGGUUUGCCUUUUUAAAUAUCUAGAGAAUUGCCAAAGUUUGAAUGUACUAAUCAGUAUUUUGUAUUAUCCCCACUAUUUUAAAUUUUAAUAGAAAGUCACCAGGAUUGCUUUCAUGGUGAUGGAGGUAAUCAGACCAGGACUUUGAACUUUUUGUAGUUCUAUGCAUUUACUAGGCAGACUUCCUGCUCACAUCCAUUAGUGUAAUAGUGAAUUCAUGGGCAUAUGCUUACUGGUUUGCUUUGCAUUGCCUAUUUUGGGGGAUCAUGUGGGGGGCAGGCAGGACACUUAUUAGAUCUCUCUACCUCCUAGAUGUGAUUAGACACAAUAGUCGACAUCUGUAAGGACAGAAACAUGCUGCUUACUUGUACACACGGCAAAAUUCUGAUAGUCCUGUGCUGUCUGGUAAAUCCUGUCUGCUUUAUGCAGUGUGGCCCGAAACAGUUGUGUGGUGAGGGAAUGCUGGCUGCUGGCCAGCCAUUGACUAUGAAAUCCUGGGUACCUGAGAGCUUAUCAGUUCUUUUGCUUUGUAAAAGAAAAAAGUGAUGAAAAUGUUGGUAAACUGCCAUGAAGGUUUAAGGCUACUGGAACAAGGAGCCGUGUAAUCAGAUUGGAAAAUGGAGCUUGAGAUUCUCUGCAUGGAGAGCAGCCCUCUGUGGACCCUGUGAGCCGCUGUGCAAGUGCCCGAGCUGACCACUUUGUUAGCAAAUCAGCUUGUUUGCUGCAGCAGCAGGGUGGAAGAGACCAGAGCUUGUGAUGGUAUGUAACGGAGGGAGAGCUCUCUCGCAUGGCACAAUCUAAUCAGCUUGCAAUUAGCUCAGGCUCUACAGUCACCUUCUUAAUUUUCUUUUUCCCCCUUCUUUGUGUUAAUACCGUGCACUUUAAACAAUUAAAUAAGGGAAGUAAUCCUUCAAGCAAAUCAAAGCCAUCCUUUAAUUUUAUCACCCUGCUGAAAAAGUAUCAGGUGGUCCACUGGUCUUCAUCAGAUGCUGAAAAUUCUUCAGCUCACUGUAGCAUAGAGGGGCUUUAAUAAACUGAGUUUGAGGAUACUCUUACAAAUGUCUUAGCAAUGGGGGGAAAAUGGAACACCGUUUAAACUAGAAUUGAAGUUCAAAUUGAUGUGAGGGGGGAUAAGAAAUCCCUUUUGGUUUAUAUACAGUUGUAAAUACCUUUUGGUUUAUAUACAGUGAUGCAUCUAUUUUAUAUUUUUAAUAACCAGAGGCAGGCUGCGUGUGUGUGUGUGUGUGUGUGUAUAGACAGAGAUUAUGUGUAUAUAUCACAUUCCAUAUCCUUUAUGCUGCUGUUUAUUUAGGCAUUUCUAUGCAGCACCUUUCUGAAGGCUCUGAUGACAUGGCCACUUGUACUGAUAAUUCUACUACUUCACCUUUACUGAACUUGAUUCACUAAGGUUUAAAAGAACAAGGAUAUCAUUGCUGAUCAUGGGUGUUACUUGUUAAUCCUUUAAAAUAAAAUUCAGAUCCUUUGGGGGAGAGGUGAGAAGAGCAAAGUAUAGAUUUGCAAAAUCAGCGCAAUAGUUUUACAUUUUACUUAAUUCAAGGACAGUGACUUCUCUAAUACUACUUAAAGAAGACACUUAUUUACUGAAACUAAAUAAAUCUUUUAAGAGAUAUUGCUAAGCAACCUUCUCUCAUUUUUUUCUCUUUCAGAAAGCUUUUGCUAAAACAUUAUCCAUGUGCAUGUAUCUCUGACCAGUUAUAUAUAUUUUUUAUUAAGUGUUUUUCUGUCAUGAGGUGGAAAUCGGCAUUAUUGCACCAAUGUUUACUUUAGAAAGCAGCACAGAGAUCAUUAUUAGAAAUUGCUUUUAAUGGUUAUUAAAGAAAUAAUUAGAGCACUCUAAGCAUUUUUUCUCCAUAAUAGCCAAUUCCUUUCUGGAGGUUGUUUGUGUUAAUAAAAAUAAACGUAGGUAUAAUGUUAUUGAUAUUUUAUUGCAUAAAUAUCAUACUUGAAUUUUCUCCCUUGCAGAUUUUUUUCUGCCUUACAGAAUACUACUAAUAAACUGUCUUCUUUCUUUUUAUCUUAAAAAAAUCUUGCAAUGUAUAACUAAGCUUUUGGUAUCAGCAAUUUUUUUACUUAAUGAACAGUUCAGAAAGUUUAACUGUCCAAGUAUUAAUGCUGUAAGAGGAUAACAUGACUUCUUGUUUUCCUGUAUGUGUUUGAUUAUGUGCCUUACAUUUGUGUUUAGAGGCAUGAAUUCAGUUGGAUGGAGAAUGAGAGUAAUUAAUAUAAAGUACAUUUAAAAUUAGGUAAGCUUUUAAGUAAGCCUUAGGGUUUUGUUGGUGAUUCUGUAAUACAUCCUUUUUUGUGUGUUUUGAACUUUUUUAUUUUUAAUUAAAAAAUAAAUUAAAAGGAAACAUACAUCUCCUACACACAUCCUAUGCUGCAAAGAUUCACUUUAUAUUCUUCUAGAGGACAAACUCCAUUACAUAUGCACUUACUGUACGUUCGAUUGUAAAUCUUACAAUUUAAUGGUAAUUCAGUGAGCAGUUAUUGCUUCAGUGGCCUUUUUUCUUUCUUUUUUGUCCCAUCUCACUUGUGAAAUAGGGUUACCCUUUACAAGUGUCACAUCCAUAGAUUCAUCUUUUGUACUUUGUAGUUGUUCCUGGUGCAUCAUUCUUAAGUCAAAAAAAAGGCAAAGCAAUGGAAGACCAUGUGGUGAAUGGUGGGUGGGAGGUAUGUGUGUUUAUAUGCAUACAGGGGAGUGGGGGCUGUAGAAUAAGAGCUUUCUUGGUAAUGCCAGACAGACAGAUAAACAGGGACAGAAAGACUUACAGAACUCUAGCAACUAAACAAUCAAGAGCGUUAGCACCAGUCUAAUAGAGUAAUAUCUUUUUCUAAAUAUACGUUUUCUCUAAGCUCAUUCUCAAUCCUACAUUCAGUUUUUCCAUAACAGAUUCUAUUCUGUGCUUGAAUUCUUCGAAGUAGAAUUGGUAUCUGAUUGGUACAAGUCUCUUCACCUUGCUUACACUGUUAAUAUUCUUAUCCUUUUUGGACAGUGAAAUACUUUUUUUAUAGAAACAAUAUACACAUUCAUAAAGAAAUUAUAAAGGGAUUCUCCUUCUGAAGAUAAUGAGUUCUCUUCAGGAACUGCAGUUUACAUGGCUCACAAAUGAGCUCGAAGUGGGGGGAUUUAAAGUCCUGCUACAGCAUUUAAUUUCUUGAGGAAAGGAGUUCAGUUCAAGGUUAGCCUGUUAUUGUGGCACUGGCAACUACUUCUUGCGUCCCCGUUCUUCUGCCAGCAGUACUGCACAAAAGGCAGUCAUUUUUAUUUAAUACAUAGGGAGGUAUUAAUCACUGCAGUAUUUUCUUGCAAAAAUUUAUCUUAUCAUAUUCAUUGUUUCACUACCCAUGACAAUAAUAGGUGUUUAAUUACUCAAUAAGGACCGUUUAUAGAUUCCAUUUUUCCUGUAUGCUGGACAAAUGGUAUUGAUUUUGUACUUUGAUGCAACAUGAAACUGUAUUAAACACGAUUAGAAUUCCAAGGCUGGUAAAAUGUACAUUCGUUAUGGUAACAGGACUUGCUUUGAGAAGCUGCAAGCUUCUUCUAAUCCAGGCAAUGCCUUUGGAGUAAAAUGGUGAUAUGAUUUUACUACAGAUCUGUGGUUAAAGAUGAAUGCUUUUUUUCCUUCAUGGUGUGUGUGUGUGUGUGCGUGUGUGUGUGUGUGUAUCCAAAUGCAUGUAUGCAGAUUUUAGUUUUAGUGAAGCAUUAAAGAGUUUAUAUGGAAAGAUUAUAAACGGAUGGUUCUUUGGAGCCAGAAAAGCCAUUGCAUACAGGUGAAUGGGGAGUUGGUGUCAUCUUAUAAUUGUGUCUCUUUGGUUAAUGCUAUAGGUCUUUAUUUUACCAAUAUAUAAAUUGUUACCUGAAUGAGGGUGGGAACCAUUACAAGAUGAAAUAGCACCUUCAUCUCUUGCUGAAUUCUGGUUUCCCUUCUUUUAAAGUAAUGAAGAAGACUUCCAAAUACCAAUUGUGUCAUAAUUUAAAUAGUGGGUUUUGUUUAAAUGGGCACUAAAUAAAACCCUUUCAUUUAGCUGACAUUAUUAUGUCCCAGUUGCGCAGCAAAAAAUCUUGCACAGAGCAAAAGUCCAUCCUGUCUUCCAGCAGGGCAGUCUGCCUGCGUUUUGUUUCACCUUGAUUUUGCAAACACAUUUCCACCAGCAUUUAGCACAUCCAAAACCAUAAUUGGAGAGGACUCUCUUGUUGGUCAGUGCAUUAAUUGCCUAUGAUCUUCAGCUCUUUACAGAUUUAUUUCCUUUGGAGGAAGGUCAUCUAAUCUUGCCAAAUAAAAAGCAAAAUAAACCAAGGACAGACAAGCAGUUGCUUAAUCUUUAUAAUUUCACUAAAGGCUAGCUUGUAUCCUUGCUAAAUUUUACUUUGUGUUUCUUUGCAAGGAUCAUAGACCUCUGGGCUCAAUUUAUAGUUUUGGAGAGUUUUAUGGAUGACUACCCUUGUCCCUAAAAAAGGAAGGUGGCUCAUUGACAGGAUUGCUUUCUGCAUCAUGUAUUCUUUGCUGGGACACUAAUAAUCCUAUUGGAACAUUAAUUGAUCACUACUUUGGCUUAUAAUUUUUAAUAUUUGUGUGGAAGAUACAAAACUUCAGGAGAGAUUUUAUAAAGACCUGCCAUUUGCUUCAUGGCAUAGAUAUACCCAGUCCACUGUUUAUUGGUUUUAAUUGGAAAUUUCUUAUUCAGUGAAUAUUUGUCUUAUGGGCUGUUGUAUAUGGCAUAUGUAAACCUUAGCAAAGAAAUCAGAAAAUAAGGACAAAUAACAGUUUACAUCUAGCUAGUAUAUUUCUUUUCUCCUAGAGCUUUCAAGAGCAUGAGAGAAAAAUAAAUUGAUUGACCUGCCCAUUUUAAAACACCAUUCUAUUUUUUUCCUCAUAGAUACGAGAAGAAAAGCUAAGUUUGAUUCCGGAAAUAUGUUUUAUAUAUUUAUUUUGCUUUUCAGGGAUCAGGC